rnacentral:lncRNA from 10 species
CAAGAACUCUGAUUUCCUAUUUCCUAAUACCACUGUGUACGUGGGGGAGAGAGAGCGAGAGCAAGAGCAAGAGAGAGAGAGAGAGAGAUGGAGAGAAAGAGAGAAUGGGAGAGAGAGAGAAAGUAGAGAAAUCAGGCAUCUUCCCUCUGAGGUCUCAUUGUUUCCCCAGUGCUGUCUCACAGAGGAGGUGGUGUGUCCUCCCUGUCCACAGGAUGGAUGACUUCUAACCCCUUCCUGGAAGAAGGCAGGAAGGAAUUGACUGGAAGAAAUCUUUCUUAUUUCCUUUACUACUGACAAAGGCUCUCUUCUUUGAUCAAACUUAAGUCUGGCUCCUCUGAGCUCCCUUUGUGACAAGCCCAGCUUUGGGCUCUGCCCUUUUCCAGUUUAGUCCAGUUUUAGCAGGACUCCUGCUGUGUCACUUUAGCAAAAAUCCCCCAUAUUUGAUAUCCGAUUAAAUUCCCUAUCCCCCAUCCUCAAUGUGUCAUCACCUCGGCCUGCCUUCAGCAAGGAUCCUGUCUGUCCAACUGGUUUCGCCAGAAUCCCCUUUACCCCUGAUGUUUCCUCUUAGUAAUUUUCCAUCCACUGCUUCCAACCCUGCUUCUUGGCUAUAAAUCUUUGUUGUAUUUGAAGUUAUACUCGACUCCUCUGUGCUGCUAAAGAACAUGUCGUGAGUAAUUUUUUUUCUUAACACUACCUUCAAAGUCAUUCCACCAUUUCCCUUCUCACUUUACACUCUGCACAGUGAAA